AUUGGGAUAUGUGCCCUUGACUAAUGAAGGUUCCUCCUUAAUCUGCGAAGUUUCUGCAAAGCUUGCUGAGAGACACCCACAGAGUGGAAACCAGGCAGAAGAGAAGACUCACAUGCCCACCUCACCGGCCAAAGAACCCUUGAGAGCAACAGCACAACGGAUGUCAGAGCCAGGACAUCCAAGAACAGGUCUACCAAUCCUGCAAGAAACACCAAACUGAAUUUCAAGAUAUCGUGAAAACAACUUACUGAAGCUUGGAGUUGGAACAAUUCUAGCUUAUUGAGGAGCUCUUCAAAUUAGAAGGCAACAUGUUCCACUGAUGAGAAAACCGGCAAAGACAGGUUAGGCAGAAGAAAAGAGAGAUGAGACAACGGACUGUGCCAACAAACUAAAAUUUUACCUGCUGCUAUGGAUAAAAUAGCUUUCUUUUUAGAAAUACUCAUGUUAAUAAACUCCUACAUGCGACAUA
rnacentral:lncRNA from 1 species